rnacentral:lncRNA from 1 species
AUAUUGAAAAUAACAUAGCAGAAAGGAAAGAUUCCUACAAGUUGGAGAAAGCACAAAGAAGACCAAGCCUUCCUAGCUUUCAGUAAAGAGAAUGUGACCGCAUUGGAAAAUGCCAAAUAUAGACAAAAUUGGAUGAAAUCUUUCCAAGGGGCAAAGCGCAGAGGAAAACAACUAUGGAAUCUAAAUAAAAAGAAGUUAUGAUGAAACUAUAACUUGGACCAGUUCAUUGAGUGCUAAAUUGGUUUAAAAAUGUGUUUAAAGAUUUCAGAUUUUGAAAAAAUAAUUACCAGCUUGGGAAGUGCCAUUUCAACCAUCAAUUAAAACUACUUAAUUGGACACAGAAUAUUUCCAUUGGUAAAAUUUUAAGAUACUGCUUUAAGACAGUUUUGGGAACAUGUUUGAUUAUCCUGCUCAAGUUAAUUCUUGACUCCUGUGUCACAAGAGUCAAAAGCUAUAUAUUCCCUCAGUUUGAGGAUCCACUGUGAUCCUGGAAUAUGUAUACUAAAAUAGAAUAGGAUGAGGAUAACUGAAGUGUUGUUAUAAAUUAACUUGCCCUUUAAGUCACUAAUCUUU